AGAUGUGUCACGCUGCAUGAGGCAAAUGGUGGUCACACCAGAUACUGACUGGUCUUCUGAUCCACACCCCUACCCUUUUUCAACAUCUGAUCUACCAUCCAGGGACAGACCAGGACCAACUAUGCUUAACUGCAGAGGCAAGCCAGUAGUGGAAUGCAGGGUGGUUUGGGAACAGCAUCUGUUAGGAAGAUGAUGCAGAGUUCCCAGUUGACUUGAAAGCACCAUAAAUCCAGAAAAUGCCAG